GCCCGGAUGGCGAAACUGGUAGACGCAAGGGACUUAAAAUCCCUCGCCCGUUUGGGUGUGCCGGUUCAAAUCCGGCUCCGGGCACCA
rnacentral:tRNA from 5 species